AGUCGAGCGGAAACGAUGGUAGCUUGCUACCAGGCGUCGAGCGGCGGACGGGUGAGUAAUACUUAGGAAUCUACCUAGUAGUGGGGGAUAGCUCGGGGAAACUCGAAUUAAUACCGCAUACGACCUACGGGAGAAAGGGGGCAGUUUACUGCUCUCGCUAUUAGAUGAGCCUAAGUCGGAUUAGCUAGAUGGUGGGGUAAAGGCCUACCAUGGCGACGAUCUGUAGCUGGUCUGAGAGGAUGAUCAGCCACACCGGGACUGAGACACGGCCCGGACUCCUACGGGAGGCAGCAGUGGGGAAUAUUGGACAAUGGGGGAAACCCUGAUCCAGCCAUGCCGCGUGUGUGAAGAAGGCCUUUUGGUUGUAAAGCACUUUAAGCAGUGAAGAAGACUCCGUGGUUAAUACCCACGGACGAUGACAUUAGCUGCAGAAUAAGCACCGGCUAACUCUGUGCCAGCAGCCGCGGUAAUACAGAGGGUGCAAGCGUUAAUCGGAAUUACUGGGCGUAAAGGGAGCGUAGGUGGCUCGAUAAGUCAGAUGUGAAAUCCCCGGGCUCAACCUGGGAACUGCAUCUGAUACUGUUGAGCUAGAGUAUGUGAGAGGAAGGUAGAAUUCCAGGUGUAGCGGUGAAAUGCGUAGAGAUCUGGAGGAAUACCGAUGGCGAAGGCAGCCUUCUGGCAUAAUACUGACACUGAGGCUCGAAAGCGUGGGUAGCAAACAGGAUUAGAUACCCUGGUAGUCCACGCCGUAAACGAUGUCUACUAGUCGUUGGGUCCCUUGAGGACUUAGUGACGCAGCUAACGCAAUAAGUAGACCGCCUGGGGAGUACGGCCGCAAGGUUAAAACUCAAAUGAAUUGACGGGGGCCCGCACAAGCGGUGGAGCAUGUGGUUUAAUUCGAUGCAACGCGAAGAACCUUACCUGGUCUUGACAUAUCUAGAAUCCUGCAGAGAUGCGGGAGUGCCUUCGGGAAUUAGAUACA
rnacentral:rRNA from 1 species